rnacentral:rRNA from 3 species
GCUUAUGCGUUGUUGGGUAGGGGAGCGUUCUGUAAGCCUGCGAAGGUGGCCUGUGAGGGUUGCUGGAGGUAUCAGAAGUGCGAAUGCUGACAUAAGUAACGAUAAAGCGGGUGAAAAGCCCGCUCGCCGGAAGACCAAGGGUUCCUGUCCAACGUUAAUCGGGGCAGGGUGAGUCGACCCCUAAGGCGAGGCCGAAAGGCGUAGUCGAUGGGAAACGGGUUAAUAUUCCCGUACUUGGUGUUACUGCGAAGGGGGGACGGAGAAGGCUAUGUUGGCCGGGCGACGGUUGUCCCGGUUUAAGCGUGUAGGCUGGUUUUCCAGGCAAAUCCGGAAAAUCAAGGCUGAGGCGUGAUGACGAGGCACUACGGUGCUGAAGCAACAAAUGCCCUGCUUCCAGGAAAAGCCUCUAAGCAUCAGGUAACAUCAAAUCGUACCCCAAACCGACACAGGUGGUCAGGUAGAGAAUACCAAGGCGCUUGAGAGAACUCGGGUGAAGGAACUAGGCAAAAUGGUGCCGUAACUUCGGGAGAAGGCACGCUGACACGUAGGUGAAGUGAUUUACUCACGGAGCUGAAGUCAGUCGAAGAUACCAGCUGGCUGCAACUGUUUAUUAAAAACACAGCACUGUGCAAACACGAAAGUGGACGUAUACGGUGUGACGCCUGCCCGGUGCCGGAAGGUUAAUUGAUGGGGUCAGCGCAAGCGAAGCUCCUGAUCGAAGCCCCGGUAAACGGCGGCCGUAACUAUAACGGUCCUAAGGUAGCGAAAUUCCUUGUCGGGUAAGUUCCGACCUGCACGAAUGGCGUAAUGAUGGCCAGGCUGUCUCCACCCGAGACUCAGUGAAAUUGAACUCGCUGUGAAGAUGCAGUGUACCCGCGGCAAGACGGAAAGACCCCGUGAACCUUUACUAUAGCUUGACACUGAACAUUGAGCCUUGAUGUGUAGGAUAGGUGGGAGGCUUUGAAGUGUGGACGCCAGUCUGCAUGGAGCCGACCUUGAAAUACCACCCUUUAAUGUUUGAUGUUCUAACGUGGACCCGUUACCCGGGUUGCGGACAGUGUCUGGUGGGUAGUUUGACUGGGGCGGUCUCCUCCUAAAGAGUAACGGAGGAGCACGAAGGUUGGCUAAUCCUGGUCGGACAUCAGGAGGUUAGUGCAAUGGCAUAAGCCAGCUUGACUGCGAGCGUGACGGCGCGAGCAGGUGCGAAAGCAGGUCAUAGUGAUCCGGUGGUUCUGAAUGGAAGGGCCAUCGCUCAACGGAUAAAAGGUACUCCGGGGAUAACAGGCUGAUACCGCCCAAGAGUUCAUAUCGACGGCGGUGUUUGGCACCUCGAUGUCGGCUCAUCACAUCCUGGGGCUGAAGUAGGUCCCAAGGGUAUGGCUGUUCGCCAUUUAAAGUGGUACGCGAGCUGGGUUUAGAACGUCGUGAGACAGUUCGGUCCCUAUCUGCCGUGGGCGCUGGAGAACUGAGGGGGGCUGCUCCUAGUACGAGAGGACCGGAGUGGACGCAUCACUGGUGUUCGGGUUGUCAUGCCAAUGGCACUGCCCGGUAGCUAAAUGCGGAAGAGAUAAGUGCUGAAAGCAUCUAAGCACGAAACUUGCCCCGAG